rnacentral:rRNA from 1 species
UAGGGAAUCUUCCACAAUGGACGCAAGUCUGAUGGAGCAACGCCGCGUGAGUGAAGAAGGUUUUCGGAUCGUAAAGCUCUGUUGUUGGUGAAGAAGGAUAGAGGUAGUAACUGGCCUUUAUUUGACGGUAAUCAACCAGAAAGUCACGGCUAACUACGUGCCAGCAGCCGCGGUAAUACGUAGGUGGCAAGCGUUGUCCGGAUUUAUUGGGCGUAAAGCGAGCGCAGGCGGAAGAAUAAGUCUGAUGUGAAAGCCCUCGGCUUAACCGAGGAACUGCAUCGGAAACUGUUUUUCUUGAGUGCAGAAGAGGAGAGUGGAAUUCCAUGUGUAGCGGUGGAAUGCGUAGAUAUAUGGGAGAAGACCAGUGGCGAAGGCGACUCUCUGGUCUGCAACUGACGCUGAGGCUCGAAAGCAUGGGUAGCGAACAGG